GGGAGCUUUUAAAGUUAACUUUGUUGAGCACCGCGUUGUAGGCGGGCGCGGUGGCGCCUGUGGGCCCCGCUAUCCUGGAGGUCGCGGUUGCAACUGCACCGCAGCCCGGGCAAGAGCGAGACCCUGUCUCUAAAUAAAUCACACGCGCGCAGUCAUGAAAGUAAGACGGACGCCAGAAUCUCACAUGCUUUUAAGUUCUUUGUGGAAGUGGCGCUCUCAGUGUUCAGAAAAGUGUAAGUUGCGCGGGACAGAAUUCACACCAGUGGGGACGAUCCGUUCGCCAGAUCAGCGCCGUGGGCCCUCCUGAGUAGUGGGAGCCGCAUUUAUCUUCUAAGAGACCUCGAGUCCGAUACCAAAAGGAAAACAUUCCUCGGACAGCAAGGUCUUGCAGCACAACUCUGAC
rnacentral:lncRNA from 10 species